rnacentral:rRNA from 1 species
GGCUCAGAACGAACGCUGGCGGCGUGGAUAAGACAUGCAAGUCGAACGAUCAUUACGGGGUAGCAAUAUUCCGUGGUGAGAGUGGCGCAAGGGUGCGUAACACGUGGGUAAUCUGCCGCGAAGACUGGAAUAACCCCGAGAAAUCGGGGCUAAUACCGGAUGUGGUUACCGGGGGCGUUCCUCUGGUAACUAAAGUUGGGGACCGCAAGGCCUGACACUUCGCGAUGAACCCGCGGCCUAUCAGCUAGUUGGCGGGGUAAAAGCCCACCAAGGCUAAGACGGGUAGCUGGUCUGAGAGGACGACCAGCCACACUGGAACUGAGACACGGUCCAGACACCUACGGGUGGCAGCAGUCGAGAAUUUUUCACAAUGGGCGAAAGCCUGAUGGAGCGACGCCGACGUGGGGGAUGAAUGGCUUCGGCCCGUAAACCCCUGUCAUUCGGGAUCAAUGCGACUGACUUAAUAAGUCAAUCGUUGAUAGUACCGGAAGAGGAAGGGACGGCUAACUCUGUGCCAGCAGCCGCGGUAAUACA